rnacentral:misc_RNA from 1 species
UCGCGAGGAAAGCAUCCGGU